UCCUCCCUCUGGCGGCGUGCUUAACACAUGCAAGUCGAACGGAAAGGCCUGCUUUCCCUUGUGGAUUGCGGGUACUCGAGUGGCGAACGGGUGAGUAACACGUGAGUGAUCUGCCCCCAACUUGGGUAUAAGCCUGGGAAACUGGGUCUAAUUCCCGAUAGGACUGCAGGGUGGUGCCUGUGGUGGAAAACGAUUUUCUAGUGGUUGGGGAUGAGCUCGCGGCCUAUCAGCUUGUUGGUGGGGUAAUGGCCUACCAAGGCGGCGACGGGUAGCCGGCCUGAGAGGGUGGACGGCCGCAUUGGGACUGGGUUACGGCCCAGACGCCUACGGGAGGCAGCAGUGGGGAAUAUUGCACAAUGGGCGGAAGCCUGAUGCAGCGACGCCGCGUGGGGGAUGACGGGCUUCGGGUUGUAAACUCCUUUCGACCGCGAGGAAGCCACCUGGUUGGAAGGGUGGUGACGGUAGUGGUAGAAGAAGCACCGGCUAACUACGUG
rnacentral:rRNA from 1 species